UACGAAGGGGGCUAGCGUUGCUCGGAAUCACUGGGCGUAAAGGGUGCGUAGGCGGGUUUUUAAGUCAGGGGUGAAAUCCUGGAGCUCAACUCCAGAACUGCCUUUGAUACUGAAGAUCUUGAGUUCGGGAGAGGUGAGUGGAACUGCGAGUGUAGAGGUGAAAUUCGUAGAUAUUCGCAAGAACACCAGUGGCGAAGGCGGCUCACUGGGUCAUUACUGACGCUGAGGCACGAAAGCGUGGGGAGCAAACAGG
rnacentral:rRNA from 1 species